rnacentral:misc_RNA from 1 species
CUCAAAGCUCUUAAGCAUUGGUCGCAGUUGCGGUGGUGCACGGACAACCAGAAGAGUCGACCAAUGCCACCAUCCAGGGUGCGGAAGAGCCGUCCGCCACGUUCCCGUCUGUGAGAAGACUGGCGGCGCCGUCGUACGCGGAAGAAGACGAGGAUACCAUUUGUGUCCAGGCAGACAACAAGUUCUACUUGUAUGCUAAUUCACUGAAGCUGUAUUCUUGCUACAACCUGCUACCGAAGGUUUACGUGGUGAAACCAAAGAGUCUAUGCAAACCAACCCUGUCAGAUUGUCCCAACAACUAGGAGUAUUGCAAGCCUGCUGGCUCAUCUUGAAGAGACUGACUCGUCUGCGAGUGACUGAAGACCAGAUGGCUGGCCUGCUCACUGAAGAAUCUACAAUAUUCAGAGAAAGCAAGAAAUCCCAAGAGCGACAGAACUUACCACUUUUUCUAGCAACAAGAACUGGAGGAAUCGACUAAUCCUCUUUCAUCACAGUUUCUGAUUACUUCACGACAUGCAAUAAAUCACACCAUAUUGCUUCACGACAUGCAAUAAAUCACACCAGCAUUACAUUUAGGCGAGAAACUCACAGCAAAAACUUGUGUUUAAAAACAUGGUCUUUCCUGUUUUUUAUCUUUCUGUUGGCCUUGUAAUAGUUUUAUAAUGACGCAAUAAAACUGUAUUUUCAAGCCA